rnacentral:lncRNA from 1 species
AUAGAAUUCUCAAAGUAAAAUCUCCAAUCCAUCCAGAGAUUUCUCAAUUGAAGUCGGCUCUUCUAUUUCCUUCCAGGGUCUUCCCCAUCUCCUUCAAUCGGUAAUAAUUAAACUCUUUUCUUUAUUGUGGUCUCUUGAAAGCCUCAAGCACUCUUGAAAAUUCAUAAUCUGAUAUGGGUUUUUUCUAUGGACUACCGAAUUAUGGAAAAUCGAGAUUUUCUCCCGUUUAUUUAUUUAUUUAAUUGUUAUUUUCAUUUUAUUUUUGGGUUUGAGAGUAGAUCUGACGUAAGAAUGUUGUUUGUUGUAGACUAAAAAUUGGACGAAGCAGACGCAUCAAGAUACUGUGUCCUGUGUGUUUGCAGACGGCGAAUCUAAAAAUCCUGUGGUGGAUUCAUAGAAGAAAUGGCAUUUGCCGAUGCCCCAGGAAAUGAUGAUUUUGGACAUGGAGGGUCUGAUUCUAACCAUACCCUCUCCCUCUGGGCUCCAAUCCUGCUUGGUAUGAUAAGUAAUCCUCGUCAAUGCCAUCGCAUUAGAUUCAUUUCAGACGCAUGGAGUUUGAGGAUGAUGACUAUGAAGAUGGCAACGAUAAUAAUAACAGUCAACUUGAGGGGAUAUGGAGCUGGAUCCUGAAUUAGAUUCCCUAACAAGGAGGAGAAGCUCAGCUGCUGUUAUCCAGCUCCUCCAUGGCAUUUUAAAUAGAAUGGUAUCUGAGUUGGGAAAUUCUGAGAGGGAUCAAAGAGACACACAUAGAAAUGAUAUUAGGGAUGGAUAGAGUGUGAUUUUGAUUAAUCCAUUUAACCAAACUAUUGUUGUUCGAGGUUAUCAUGAUUCCAAUAACGAUUCCGUGAAUCGUGCACCAAUUGGCUUCUAGGUGAUUAUUACAUAGGUCCUGGUUUAGAAUUAUUGCUACAGCAUUUGGCAGAGAAUGAUGAUAUUUACUCGAGUUUAACUUUUUCAGCUAAUGUAGCCUUCUCCCUUGUUUUUUGGGAAUAUAGAGCAAAAGAAGUUAAGUCAAACCUUGUUUAAAGAUUCUUCGAGAGUUAUACAUUCAAUUUUUGUUUGCUGCUGGACAUUAUUUCACAGACAUGGAAAAUAUAAUUUAUUACUUUACAUUUUCAAUUAUAUGAGUUGUGG